GACGAACGCUGGCGGCGUGCUUAACACAUGCAAGUCGAACGGGCCCGCUCUCUUUUUUGGGGGUGGGUUGAGUGGCGAACGGGUGAGUAUCACGUGAGUAACCUGCCCCCUGCUCCUGGAUAACUGCUUGAAAGGGCGGCUAAUACGGGGUGUGCCGGCUGGUCCGCAUGGGCCUGGUCGGGAUAGUUUCAUCUUCGGGUGUUUCGGUGGGGGAUGGGCUCGCGGCCUAUCAGCUUGUUGGUGGGGUGAUGGCCCACCAAGGCGGUGACGGGUAGCCGGCCUGAGAGGGUGGGCGGCCACACUGGGACUGAGACACGGCCCAGACGACUGCGGGAGGCAGCAGUGGGGGGUAUUGCACAAUGGGCGGAAGCCUGAUGCAGCGACGUCGCGUGAGGGAUGGAGGCCUUCGGGUUGUGAACCUCUUUCUCCGGUGGUGAAGGCCCUGUCCGUUGCGGCGGGGUUGACGGUAGCCGGGUAUGAAGCGCCGGCUAACUACGUG
rnacentral:rRNA from 1 species